AAUUUUGGACAAUGGGGGAAACCCUGAUCCAGCCAUCCCGCGUGUAUGAUGAAGGCCUUCGGGUUGUAAAGUACUUUUGGCAGAGAAGAAAAGGUAUCCCCUAAUACGGGAUACUGCUGACGGUAUCUGCAGAAUAAGCACCGGCUACCUACGUGCCAGCAGCCGCGGUAAUACGUAGGGUGCAAGAGUUAAUAGGAAUUACUGGGCGUAAAGCGUAUGUAAGCGGUUAGGAAAGAAAGAUAAGAAAGCCCAGGGCUCAACCUUGGAACUGCAUUUUUAACUGCCGGGCUAGAGUAUGUCAGAGGAGGGUAGAAUUCCAGGUGUAGCAGUGGAAUGCGUAGAUAUGUGGAGGAAUACCGAUGGCGAAGGCAGCCCCCUGGGAUAAUACAGACGCUCAGACACGAAAGCGUGGGGAGCAAACAGG
rnacentral:rRNA from 1 species